GGGUCCGUAGCUUUAGCGGUUAGAGACGAGCGCUCAUAACGCUUUAGUCGUAGGGUCAAAUCCUACCGGACCCACCA
rnacentral:tRNA from 1 species